rnacentral:rRNA from 1 species
UACGUAGGGUGCGAGCGUUGUCCGGAAUUAUUGGGCGUAAAGGGCUCGUAGGCGGUCUGUCGCGUCGGGAGUGAAAACUCAGGGCUUAACCCUGAGCCUGCUUCCGAUACGGGCAGACUAGAGGUAUGCAGGGGAGAACGGAAUUCCUGGUGUAGCGGUGAAAUGCGCAGAUAUCAGGAGGAACACCGAUGGCGAAGGCAGGUCUCUGGGCUGUAACUGACGCUGAGGAGCGAAAGCGUGGGUAGCGAACAGG